rnacentral:rRNA from 1 species
CUCGUAGGCGGUUUGUCGCGUCGGGAGUGAAAACACUGGGCUUAACUCAGUGCCUGCUUCCGAUACAGGCAGACUAGAGGUAUGCAGGGGAGAACGGAAUUCCUGGUGUAGCGGUGAAAUGCGCAGAUAUCAGGAGGAACACCGGUGGCGAAGGCGGUUCUCUGGGCGAUUACCUGACGCUGAGGAGCGAAAGUGUGGGGAGCGAACA